rnacentral:rRNA from 1 species
ACUCCUACGGGAGGCAGCAGUGGGAAUAUUGGACAAUGGGGAACCCGUAGCAUCCAGCCAAUGCCGCAGUGUGUGAAGAAGGCCUGAGGGUUGUAAAGCACUUUCAACUGUGAGGAUUGGGAUUUUGGUUAAUACCCGAGAUCCUUGACGUUAGCAGUAGAAGAAGCACCGGCUAACUCCGUGCCAGCAGCCGCGGUAAUACGGAGGGUGCAAGCGUUAAUCGGAAUUACUGGGCGUAAAGCGUCUGUAGGCGGCUUAUUAAGUCGGAUGUGAAAUCCC